rnacentral:rRNA from 1 species
AACGAACGCUGGCGGCAUGCCUAACACAUGCAAGUCGAACGAACCCUUCGGGGUGAGUGGCGCACGGGUGCGUAACACGUGGGAACCUGCCCUUAGGUUCGGAAUAACACAGAGAAAUUUGUGCUAAUACCGGAUAAUGUCUUCGGACCAAAGAUUUAUCGCCUUUGGAUGGGCCCGCGUAGGAUUAGCUAGUUGGUGAGGUAAAGGCUCACCAAGGCGACGAUCCUUAGCUGGUCUUAGAGGAUGGUCAGCCACACUGGGACUGAGACACGGCCCAGACUCCUACGGGAGGCAGCAGUGGGGAAUAUUGGACAAUGGGCGAAAGCCUGAUCCAGCAAUGCCGCGUGAGUGAUGAAGGCCUUAGGGUUGUAAAGCUCUUUUACUGGGGAUGAUAAUGACAGUACCCAGAGAAUAAGCCCCAGCUAACUCCGUGCCAGCCGCCGCUGUAACAC